rnacentral:tRNA from 1 species
CGGGCUGUGGCGCAGUCUGGUAGCGCGCUUGGUUCGGGACCAAGAGGUCCAGGGUUCGAAUCCCUGCAGCCCGA